UAUCGGCUGACUUCUAGAUUUAAUCUAGAUCUUUUCGAUCUAAGUACUGCCACUGACCAUAUAGUAUAGUGAUAUGGUGACAUGAUAGUUAUAUGGCUAGUGGUACUGCCCGGCGUUCAGCCGUUAGAAAAUAGUUUGUGCGCGCAAAAUUUUUGAUCAGUUCCAUACGAAUAUCACACUGAUUUUUCUAGAGGCCCCUUAUUUUCGAUCUGAGGCUUUUAGUCCGUCCCCUGGAUAUCGAGUCGAAAACACGCCUGACUUCCCCGAGAGUUAUCCGGGAACGAUACACCAGGGAGGCAAAAAGGCGAAUCAUAACCAAUUAAACCAAAGACCAGUAGGGGUCCAACAAAGACGUGGAAAUUGCACACGCCGGAGUGCUAAUAAGAUGUGUAAAUGUACCUCACGACACAAGCAAGCAUGAAGUCUUCAUAUUGGCGGGAAAUUCAUGGCAAAAGUGAGAGUUUCGAACGGUUUUGCCACUUUUGGAUUUUAAGAAAAAAUGAAUUUAAUGUGAAUAUAAAAUAAUUUUU